UUCUUGGGUUUCUGGGUGCCCCCAAAUCCAGGAAGAGCCCCCAAAUUGAAAGACCCAAUUUUGGGGACCCCCACUCUAAUCUCAGGAGAGAGAGCGCACCCAAAGAAACAUGAGAAUCC
rnacentral:pre_miRNA from 7 species